GCCUGUCCUGGAACUCACAAAGAUCUGCUUGCCUCUGUAUCUCCAGUGCUGGGACUAAAGUCUACUGACAAGGAACUGAGAGACAUCAUGGCAUUGCUGGCAGCUCAGCAGACUGCUCUGGAAGUUAUUGUCAACAUGUGCUGCAGUGAAGGUUUGCUCCCAAUGUACACUGGACAUUCCCCCACCUGGCUCCCACUCCUCAUACCAAGGGCAGCUUCCGUGAGAGUUUCUUUGAUACCCCAGUAAUGUCUUGUUUGCCCCUUUUUCCUCAGAUCUCUCUGAUGAUGAAUGGUAAGAGCUUUCUAGUAGUGAUGAAAGUGAAGCCUUUAUGGAAAACUCCUUCAAUGAGUGCAGUGGGCAGCUGCUGUCCCAUGAGAUUCACACUGCUCUUACCAACUGCCUCAUCCCAAAGAAGAUUGAACACUAUUCAGUGGAGAGCCCUUAUGUGCCUCCAGAGUCUUGUGUCUCUCCUGGACAUGUGUCUCUCCUCCAUUUCGGAGGAGCCCCAGCUCUUCAGAAACUUGCACAGCACCUGACACAGCUUCUUUUUUCUCAGCCUGGUAAAUAUUUAGAAAUUACUGUGAAAGACAUAGUAAUGAAAAUAUAUUAGUAAUAGUAAUGAAAGACAUUACAACUUAGACAUAGCAGAACGUUGAAGGAUAGUGACUUGAACUCUAUAGAUGGAGUAUUAUCUUAUUUAUCCUGCAGAAACCUUUUCCAGACUCAUUCAGCCACGUAUUAUCAUUGCCAAUGACAAUCAAGGGGUGACAGUAGGUUUGUGUGUGUGUGUGUGUGUGUGUGUGUGUGUGUGUGUGUGUGUGUGUGUUUAAAAUUAAUGUCAAUCUGGGCAGUGAUGACCUAUGCCUUUAAACCAGCACUUGGGAGGCAGAGACAGGCAGAUCUCAGUGAGUUCCAGUACAGCCAGGGAUACACAGACCAAAAAAAUCCUGUCUGGAAAACGAACAGAAUAAAAAAUUAAUGUCAAGCCAAUUAAAAUAAGUCAUAUAUAUCAGGUUCUUAUUAGGAUAUUUGAGUAGUACUUGUAUUCUUUUUUAGGAUUUUAUACAUGAAUACUAUAUCUGUAUUGUUUUUACCCCCCACUUCCUCCUGUCUUCCCCUUAUCACCCUCUCUUGAAUUCAUGAUCCCUUCUAUAGUUAUUCCUAUUACAAACUCACCAAGAACAUAGGCACACAACCCUCCCAUUACAAACACACCAAGAACAUAGGCACACAACCCUCCCAUUACAAACACACCAAGAACAUAGACACACAACCCUCCCAUUACAAACACACCAAGAACAUAGGCACACAACCCUCCCAUUACAAACACACCAAGAACAUAGGCACACAACCCUCCCAUUACAAACACACCAAGAACAUAGGCACACAACCUUCCCAUUACAAACACACCAAGAACAUAGGCACACAACCCUCCCAUUACAAACUCACCAAGAACAUAGACACACAACCCUCCCAUUACAAACUCACCAAGAACAUAGGCACACAACCUGCCUGCACCCCCCCCCAGUACUGGGAUUAAAGGAGUGUACCACUCAGACCAGCUUCUUGAGGGCAUCUUGCUGGCGCUGUCGUUGUGGUUUUCAGUCUUUACAGCUCUCUAGGGCUGUGGAUAACAUUUCCCCCUCCGCAGCUUGCAUGGCACCCUCAGCACUGUGAGAGCCAGCCUUCAGGACAGAGGCUUCCUGGUAAGCACCAGGUUUAUCUCUCCUAAGUUCGGUGAGUGCAGUAUGUGGUGUCUUCAGCCAUAAGGUCCACCUUGGUGUUCUGGCAGGCAACCAAGAGAAUAGCAGUAGUCCAUAUUUUUUUGGAGAUUUCCUGUGCCUCCCCCAAUCCUAUUCCUUUUUGGGGGGAUGGGUUUGAGACAGGGUUUCUUCGUGAUUUGGAGGCUGUCCUAGACCAGGCUGGCUUCGAACUCACAGAUAUCUGCCUGCCUCUGCCUCUCGAGUGCUGGGAUUAAAGUUUUACACCACCAACGCCCAGCUCCCAAUCCUACGCUUAUAAUUGAAAUUUAAUUGGGCAAUACACAUACAGUAUGGAGGACAACAGCUAGGGAGAAGGUGAGGUGGGCAGCCUCCUUCCUUUCCAUUCCACCCAGUUCUCAGAGGUGUCGUUAAUACACUAGUUCCAUUUAAGCAGCUGCUUCCAGAGAGAUUGAUUCUCUAGAGAUGAGAUAGACCUAGGGAGGGGGCAGUAGACAUGAAUGCUGUAAUACCAGGAACAGUUCUAUACCUGGCUUUUGUCUGACAUGUCUUUAUUUAAACACCUUGGCUUGUAAAGAACUGAGUCACUUUAGUUACAUGUCUCUGUCUUUAAUUUCUGUGACAGUGCCAUAUCUUCUGACAAUUAAGCUUAAAUGACAGAAGUACCAUUUAAAUAACUGCCCAAAAUUGUUUUGUUUUUUGUUUGUUUGUUUUAUUCGAGACAGAAAUUCUCUGUGUAACAUCUCUGGCUGUCCUGGAACUCAGUUUGCUGUCUAGACUGGCUGCAAACUCAGAGAUCCAUCUGCCUCUGCCUCUUGAGUUCUGGGAUUAAAGGCAUGUGUCACUGCACCCAGCUCAAAUAUUUUAGUUAAUCAAAAUAAAAUGUGAAUCAUACAAUGUGCAAACUUUUAAAGACCUUUUAAAGAAUACUUUCGCAUCAGUUUUGGAGUAUCCGUUGGACACCAGGCUUUAAGAAAUGUGGGGGAGCUCUAGUAAGCCCAUUGUUUAGCACGUGUUUCUUGACCUCUGUCUAUGUCACAUACCACCUAAGUCCUAGGGAUAAUGAGGAAAGAAUGGUGUAAGGUGCUGUGUUAAAUGUAAGGGGCUCUCUGGAGAGAGAACCUUUGAACUGGGAUCACAAUGAAAUGAAACAGAUCACAUGUCAUGUAGGAUUUUGUCCAAAGUGUGUCUGAUCCUAAGGUUGACCUAUUGUCUGUUGUCCUGUAAUAAUUACAGGAAUUCCCUUCUUUGGUACAUACAAUAUCUGAAAAUGAAAAGCCAAAUGAUAUAAGCUUUGGUAAUAAUUUGUGGGGAGCUGGUAAGAUGACUCCACAUAUUAAAAAUUUUUUCAUAUACAAACCUGAGAGCCUGAGUUAGAUUCUUGGAUCCCAGUGUGGAAAGAUUUCUGAGUGUUGUGCUUUGACCUCCAUGCAUAUAUACACAUAUACAGCUGCACUUACACAUGGUAAUGAUAAAUAAAAAUUUUACAAUUAUGGACCUGA